AGGGGGAAUAUAAUUCAAGGGUAGAAUAGUUCUUUUGCAAAGAAAAAGUUAGCAGUUCGAGUCUGCUUAUUUCCA
rnacentral:tRNA from 1 species